GACGAACGCUGGUGGCGUGCUUAACACAUGCAAGUCGAACGGAAAGGCCCUGCUUUUGUGGGGUGCUCGAGUGGCGAACGGGUGAGUAACACGUGAGUAACCUGCCCUUGACUUUGGGAUAACUUCAGGAAACUGGGGCUAAUACCGGAUAGGAGCUCCUGCUGCAUGGUGGGGGUUGGAAAGUUUCGGCGGUUGGGGAUGGACUCGCGGCUUAUCAGCUUGUUGGUGGGGUAGUGGCUUACCAAGGCUUUGACGGGUAGCCGGCCUGAGAGGGUGACCGGCCACAUUGGGACUGAGAUACGGCCCAGACUCCUACGGGAGGCAGCAGUGGGGAAUAUUGAACAAUGGGCGGAAGCCUGAUGCAGCAACGCCGCGUGCGGGAUGACGGCCUUCGGGUUGUAAACCGCUUUCGCCUGUGACGAAGCGUGAGUGACGGUAAUGGGUAAAGAAGCACCGGCUAACUACGUG
rnacentral:rRNA from 1 species